rnacentral:lncRNA from 1 species
GUCACAGUGAGGCGGGGGCAGGUUUGGGGCUGGGACCACACCUCCCACAGCUGGGUGCUCUCACUGUCUCUGUACCAUGAUACUUAAUAAGCAGUUCCACUAAUCACAGUGUGCCAGUUUAUCACGGAGAGAACACACUCCCUGCCUUCUGGAGGUCCAUCAGCUCUCCCUUCCUCAGUCACCCAUCAGGGUGCUCCCUUCCUCGGGGCCUUCCUUACGUCUAACCUCAGUCAUUCCUGCUGUAGCCUGCCUGGCUCUACAGCCAGCCAGCAUUUCAAAUACUCCGAUCCUUUUCUCACUACCAGUGGGGAGGUUUUGUGGGAGGGAGCAGGGAUGCUGUCUGAGUUCACAGGAUUCAGAAGGUCUGGAUUCAGGAUCCAAAGUAUCUGAAUUUGAAAUUCUCACUGCCCUCCCAAAAACCUCUCAUCCUUUGACGCCUAAAAUUUCACUCUAGAGAUAAUUGUUUUGGUUUAAAUCUUAUUACAUCCACCACUGGGCAGGAUAACACUUUAAUCCAAAGAGCCAACUCUUUUUCUUCCUGGGCUCCAUCCACACGAAUGACUUUUUUUUUCAAUAGCCACAUCUCUCACUAUUGGUAGAGGUGGGAAAACCAUGGCUUUUAUUUUUUAGGCAGAGACAGGGUCUUGCCAUGUUGCCCAGGCUGGUCUUGAACUCCUGAGCUCAAGUGAUCCUUCCACCCAAAGUGGAAGGAUCCUCGCCCUCCCAAAGUGCUGGGAUUACAGGCUUGAGCUACCGUACCCGGCUUUUAAAUAAGUGUCCAGUUCUUUCCUGGGAUCAGACCACGGAAGCCCCGGACUCCUGGACGUGCUGCGCACCCUCCCUGGGCUGGGCAUUGCGGGGCCUCGGACCAGGAUGAGUUGUGGAGCUCGGGCGCCCUCUGGUGGCUUACUCGUCACACUGCAGGCCUUUAAAGGGUGUUUGCUUCAGACGGCGUGUGUUCUUCAAAUUUUAAAUAGAAAGGUAAUAGUAACAGCCUGCCUAAAUCCCAAAGUAAGCACUGGAAGGCAAUGGGCUGCUGGUUUAACAGCUCUACCCUUCCACUUACCGCUUGCCAGGAGGGCAGUGCGAACCCGGAAGGCCUGCGCGUUCCUCAAGGCGGAGAGUUGGUGCCCGGGACCGAGCUGGAAUCAAUCGCGGGGCCGCAGCCCGGGCCAGAGCGCCGGGAACCCAGGGCAAUGCGUGGAGAUAUGGCAGCUGGGACAUCGAACUCCAGGAGAGGAUUCUGUCCUGUGGGCUGUGGGGCUUCCUUUUUAAUUGUGGUAAAAUAAACAGAACUAAAUUUCCCAUCUUAACCAUUUAUAAGCGUAUUAUUUGGUG